rnacentral:rRNA from 1 species
CUACGCACUCCUACGGGAGGCAGCAGUGGGGAAUAUUGCACAAUGGGCGCAAGCCUGAUGCAGCCAUGCCGCGUGUAUGAAGAAGGCCUUCGGGUUGUAAAGUACUUUCAGCAGUGAGGAAGGUGGAUAUGUUAAUAGCAUAUUCAUUUGACGUUAGCUGCAGAAGAAGCACCGGCUAACUCCGUGCCAGCAGCCGCGGUAAUACGGAGGGUGCGAGCGUUAAUCGGAAUUACUGGGCGUAAAGCGCAUGCAGGUGGUUUGUUAAGUCAGAUGUGAAAGCCCGGGGCUCAACCUCGGAAUUGUCAUUUGAAACUGGCAAACUAGAGUACUGUAGAGGGGGUAGAAUUUCAGGUGUAGCGGUGAAAUGCGUAGAGAUCUGAAGGAAUACCGGUGGCGAAGGCGGCCCCCUGGACAGAUACUGACACUCAGAUGCGAAAGCGUGGGGAGCAAACAGGAUUAGAUACCCUGGUAG